CUCUUGACAUCCAGAGAACUUGGCAGAGAUGCCUUGGUGCCUUCGGGAACUCUGAGACAGGUGCUGCAUGGCUGUCGUCAGCUCGUGUUGUGAAAUGUUCGGGUUAAGUCCCGCAACGAGCGCAACCCCUAUCCUUUGUUGCCAGCGAUUCGGUCGGGAACUCAAAGGAGACUGCCGGUGAUAAACCGGAGGAAGGUGGGGAUGACGUCAAGUCAUCAUGGCCCUUACGAGUAGGGCUACACACGUGCUACAAUGGCGUAUACAAAGAGAAGCGACCUCGCGAGAGCAAGCGGACCUCAUAAAGUACGUCGUAGUCCGGAUUGGAGUCUGCAACUCGACUCCAUGAAGUCGGAAUCGCUAGUAAUCGUAGAUCAGAAUGCUACGGUGAAUACGUUCCCGGGCCUUGUACACACCGCCCGUCACACCAUGGGAGUGGGUUGCAAAAGAAGUAGAUAGCUUAACCUUCGGGAGGGCGUUUACCACUUUGUGAUUCAUGACUGGGGUGAAGUCGUAACAAGGUAAGCGUACGUGU
rnacentral:rRNA from 1 species